UCUUUCCAGAGUUUUCCACCUACAGUCCAGCAGCCGUUUUCUCUUGCUUCUCAGAAAAAGGUGAAGCGGUCCGUUUCCUUUCUGUGUGGAGUUUGCAUGUUCUCCCCGUGUCUGCGUGGGUUUCCUCCCACAGUACAAAGACGUGCAAGUGAGGAGUAAAGGACACAAAUGAUGCAUCAUUUUAUUCAAUUUAUGCAUAUGUGUUGGUCAAAAAGCCAUGUUGGUGACUUAUGAAGUCUAUAUAUAUAAAG